rnacentral:rRNA from 1 species
AUUGAACGCUGGCGGCAGGCCUAACACAUGCAAGUCGAACGGUAACAGGAAGCAGCUUGCUGCUUCGCUGACGAGUGGCGGGCGGGUGAGUAAUGUCUGGGAAGCUGCCUGAUGGAGGGGGAUAACUACUGGAAACGGUAGCUAAUACCGCAUAAUGUCGCAAGACCAAAGAGGGGGACCUUCGGGCCUCUUGCCAUCGGAUGUGCCCAGAUGGGAUUAGCUUGUUGGUGGGGUAACGGCUCACCAGGGCGACGAUCCCUAGCUGGUCUGAGAGGAUGACCAGCCACACUGGAACUGAGACACGGUCCAGACUCCUACGGGAGGCAGCAGUGGGGAAUAUUGCACAAUGGGCGCAAGCCUGAUGCAGCCAUGCCGCGUGUAUGAAGAAGGCCUUCGGGUUGUAAAGUACUUUCAGCGGGGAGGAAGGGAGUAAAGUUAAUACCUUUGCUCAUUGACGUUACCCGCAGAAGAAGCACCGGCUAACUCCGUG